GGAAUCAGCUAUUGAAUUUUGAAUUCUGUAUUCUAUCUUUUUGUGCUUACGCACGCUCUAGUUGAAGAUUAUUUACUCUAGGUUAGGCGGUUGUACAUAUGUUUCACUUGCUUUCACAAUUAUAUCUUUAGUCCACUGUCAUUUUGCUUUCUUCUCAGAAAAUCCUGUGGAAAAUUUGUCAAUCUCCUUAAAGAUGAAGUUCAUAUGCAAGUUUUUGGAUGGGUUGCAGAAGAUGUUUUUGUAGAGGGGUAGACAUUCUAGAUCUCACACAAGGGUAGACAUUCCAAAAUUAUACAAUCCAUUUAAUUCACACUGUUACGCGAAUUUCAAAUAACUUGAAAUAUCAUUCUCAUCAUAAAGUAUUAUCUUUACCACUUAUUAAUAAUUUAAACUAUUUAACUAAUAAUUAAUUUCAUCGAUGUUAGAAUAUACUAAAUUCCGAUUUUUCAAUUUUCUAUAAGUUCUUUGCUUAUUUUCCCUGCUACAGAUAAUCAAGAACCAAUUUUGAAUAAGGAUGAACAUACUGCUGCUCAAUCACAAUUCCUUAAACUCAAGCACUGGCAAUGGUGGCUUUUGGUGGCAAUCAACAUCUUCUUCCUCAUUGCAGGCCAGUCUGCUGCUGUUCUUCUUGGGAGAUUUUAUUAUGACAAAGGUGGAAAUAGUAAAUGGAUGGCAACCCUUGUUCAAACUGUUGCUUUCCCAAUCCUUUGCAUCCCUCUCUUUCUACUACCUUCCUCUCAAGAGUCUUCAACCUCUUCCGCCUCACCCUCCAUUAGAAUUCUUGCCUUGAUCUAUUUGUUUCUUGGAUUACUUAUAGCUGGUGAUAACAUGUUAUAUUCUACUGGGCUCUUGUACUUGUCUGCCUCUACUUAUUCUCUCGUUUGUGCAUCCCAAUUAGCUUUCAAUGCUAUUUUCUCAUACUUCAUAAAUUCUCAGAAGUUCACUUCCUUAAUUCUCAACUCUGUGGUUGUGCUUUCAUUUUCUGCGGCUCUCAUUGCCGUCAAUGAUGAUUCAGACAGUCCAUCAGGAGUCUCUGAGUGGAAGUAUAUCAUUGGCUUCGUUUGUACCCUUGGUGCUUCGGCAAUAUACUCUCUUCUGCUUUCUCUCAUGCAGCUGUCCUUUCAAAAAUUCAUAAAAAAGGAAACUUUUAAUGUCGUGUUGGAAAUGCAGAUCUUCACAUCACUUGUUGCCACCUGUGUUUCUAUCAUCGGUCUUUUUGCUAGUGGGGAAUGGAAGACUUUGCAUGGAGAAAUAUCGAGUUUUGUUAGUGGGAGGGUGUCUUACAUUAUGACACUGGUUUGGACAGCAGUAUGUUGGCAGGUUUGUUCCGUUGGUGUUGUAGGCCUGAUUUUCUUGGUAUCUUCUCUUUUUUCCAAUGUAAUAAGUACUGUCGCCUUGGCUGUAUCUCCUAUUGCUGCUGUUGUGGUUUUCCAUGACAAGAUGAAUGGUGUGAAGGUAAUCUCUUUGCUUAUGGCUUUCUGGGGUUUUGGUUGCUAUAUUUACCAGAGUUAUCUUGAUGAUUCUAAGGUGAGGAGAGAACAGCAUCAUGUUAUUGAAACGACCCAUCAUGAUUCUUCAUGUUGAUAACUCUGGAAUUGAUUUUAAUGAAAUCCUUUGUGAUUCUUUACUUUAAGUCUUGGGUAUUUUUUGUCACAUCUUUUUUUAUGUCAUAUGCUACCAUUUUAGUUGUUUUGUUAAGGCUUGUUGUUUUGUUA
rnacentral:misc_RNA from 1 species